UACGUAGGGUGCGAGCGUUAAUCGGAAUUACUGGGCGUAAAGCGUGCGCAGGCGGUUCGUUAAGUUCGUUGUGAAAGCCCCGGGCUCAACCUGGGAAUGGCAAUGGAAACUGGCGAGCUUGAGUGUGGCAGAGGGGGGUGGAAUUCCGCGUGUAGCAGUGAAAUGCGUAGAGAUGCGGAGGAACACCGAUGGCGAAGGCGGUCAACUGGCCUCAUAUUGACACUCAGACGCGAAGGCAUGGGUAGCGAACGGG
rnacentral:rRNA from 1 species